rnacentral:rRNA from 1 species
AUUGAACGCUGGCGGAAUGCUUUACACAUGCAAGUCGAACGGCAGCACGGACUUCGGUCUGGUGGCGAGUGGCGAACGGGUGAGUAAUGUAUCGGAACGUGCCCAGUCGUGGGGGAUAACGUAGUGAAAAUUACGCUAAUACCGCAUACGAUCUAUGGAUGAAAGCGGGGGAUCGCAAGACCUCGCGCGAUUGGAGCGGCCGAUAUCAGAUUAGGUAGUUGGUGGGGGUAAAGGCCCACCAAGCCAACGAUCUGUAGCUGGUCUGAGAGGACGACCAGCCACACUGGAACUGAGACACGGUCCAGACUCCUACGGGAGGCAGCAGUGGGGAAUUUUGGACAAUGGGCGAAAGCCUGAUCCAGCCAUUCCGCGUGCAGGAUGAAGGCCCUCGGGUUGUAAACUGCUUUUGUACAGAACGAAAAGGUUUCUACUAAUACUAGGAGCUCAUGACGGUACUGUAAGAAUAAGCACCAGCUAACUACGUGCCAGCAGCCGCCGUAA